ACAACUAAAACAACGAAGACACAAGUUCAAGUCUCAGUGCGGCGAAGCGAGAGGAGUCGAACAGUCUCUGUUUACUAAAAUGGCAAAAGUAGAUUUAUACGCCGAAUAUAAAGGGGUUUAUGUGCCAGUGCAUUUGCACACUCCCGACAGCCUGAAAUAUUAUGAGGAUUUCACUUUCCGAUCAGAUGACAUCCUUAUCAUCACCUAUCCUAAAUCAGGCACAACAUGGAUGCAGGAGAUCAUUCCUCUGAUCUGCAGUGAGGGAGAUCUCACUCCAGUGCGCACUAUACCAAACUGGGACCGGGUUCCAUGGCUGGAAGAACACAGGGCCAAAAUACUCAAUCUGGAGCAGAGGCCUUCUCCACGCAUCUUUGCGACCCACUUCCAUCGUGGCAUGAUGAACAAGUCCUAUUUUGCAGUCAAGCCAAAAGUUGUUUAUGUAAUACGAAACCCGAAAGACGUGUUUACAUCCUCCUUCUACUACUAUGGAAUGGCUUCAUAUCUGGUCAAUCCUGGCACUGUUGAUGAGUUUCUGGAAGAGUUUCUGAAAGGCAAAAUAAUGUUUGGUUCGUGGUUUGACCAUGUGAAGGGCUGGCUCAAUGCAAAAGACCAUGAUCACAUUUUCUUCAUUUCAUAUGAGGAAAUGAUACAAGAUUUGAAAGGCUCUGUGACGAAAAUUGCCCAGUUUCUUGAAAAGCCUCUGAGCCCAGAAGUGAUUGAGAAGAUAGCUGAGAAUUGUCAAUUCAAGAACAUGAAGCAGAACAAGAUGUCCAACUAUUCUCUGGUUCCAGAAGAGUUCAUGGAUCAAAAGAAAUCUGAGUUUCUCAGGAAAGGAAUCACUGAUGACUGGAAGAACCUUCUUACUGAGGCCCAGACUGAGAAAUUUAAUGCUAUUUACAAAGAGAAAAUGAAAGACGUUGGUUUCAAAUUUGUUUGGGAUUGAACUGGGGGUGGGGGGGAGGGGUGUUAGACCAAAAAUUUUUUUCUACCCCCUCCAAAAUAUGGAGAUGAUCUAUCUAAGUAUGGAAAUACCAAUAUUUGGCCAACUGAAAAAUGCUAACCCCCCUGUACAUACCCUCUGAAGUUAAUAACCCCUCCAGAUGUUGGAAGCAUCCCAGAAGGGAACUCAGCCUGUUCUAUGUACUCUACUACACCUAGUAUCUUCUUAGCUUUUGACCGUGUUGCAACAGAAGCCAUUAUUUACCUGCAAGAAUACAAAUAAUGACUAUUUAAUACAUUGGGAGACAUAAUUCAGAUAUGAAUCAUUUGUGCAUACUGGUUCUUAAAACUAAAUUAGUAACCUUAAGUAAUGAUCCUCUGUGCUUAAAAAUAGUUAAUAUUUGAGGUAUUACUGAAGAGUGUGACAUUCAUCAAUAACUUUAAAACUUGCUGAAAAAGAGCAGAAUUACCAUAUGUUUAAUUUACUUGAAUGUAAGGUUACUUACCACUAAGCUUAUUACCUUAAAAUAAUGAUCAUCUGCACUGAAAAUGUUGUAGUUGUACCUACAGUAGUGGCAUACCUGAAGAGGUUCACAUUCAUCGAUAACUUUAAAACACAUUAAAAAAAGCAGCAUUCUAAUAUCAAACAGCACUGUAAUGUAUUUUGUCAUAUUGUAAGAAUGGAAACUUUCAGAGGGUAUGUACAGGGGGGAUAGCAAGGUUCAAUUUAAUAAAAUUUGACAUUUUCCCACAUAGAUGGACCAUCUCCAUAUUUCUAGGGGGGUAAAACAUGGAAAAGUCAAAAUUCUUAAAAUAACAACCCCCCCAAUUGAACAAACUCAUCACUGAGAAUAAUUAAGUGAUUUGAAUUUGUACUGAAUUUGUUUAAUCAGCUGAUCCCUUGACAGCAGCACAAUGUAUAAAAUCAUGCAGAUACAAAUCAAGAGCUUCAGUUAAUGUUCACUUCAAACAUCAGAAUGAGAAAAAUUGUGAUCUCAAAGUGUUACUUUCACUCGCGCAUGGGUGUUGGUGCCAGAUGGACUGGUUUGAGUUUUUCAGAAACUGCUGAUCUCCUGGGGUUUUCACACACAACAGUCUCUAGAGUUUACACAAAAUGGUGCAAAAAACAAAACAGAGUGAGUGACAGUUCUGUGGGUGGAAACGUCUUGUUGAUAAGAGAGGUCGGAGGAAAAUGGCCACACUGGUUCGACCUGCCAGAAAGGAUAUAGCAACUCAUAUAAUCACUCUUUACAACCAUGGUGAGCAGAAAAGCACCUCAGCAUGCAACAGCAGAAGACCACAUUGGGUUCCACUCCUGCCAGCCAAGAACAGGAUUCUUAGAAUCAAGAACACCUUCCUAUUAAAGUGGCCGGUCAAUCCUUUGAUUGAGAUGCUGACCUCUUCUGCUCCUCAGACCUGCCUGAUCCAUCCUGAUGCCCUGUGUCUGGCUGGACUCUCAUCACAUCAUUCCUGUGGAGGACGGCCCCAUAUGGACAGAUGAAAGUCACACUUGGAAGAUGCUCUGGACACUUGCAGUAAUGCUUUUAUGGCUGAGGACUACAGUUGACUUGCUAACUUUAGGACUGCAGUUGUCAUGAACAGUUUUGCACUCAAGUUUCCUUCAAUGAAGAGUUAUAACAUCAAUGAAACAGACUUCGUGUUCAUUUCAUUUCAUUAUCUGUAGCCGCUUUAUCCUGUUCUACAGGGUCACAGGCAAGCUGGAGCCUAUCCCAGCUGACUACGGGCGAAAGGCGGGGUACACCCUGGACAAGUCGCCAGGUCAUCACAGGGCUGACAUAUAGACACAGACAACCAUUCACACUCACAUUCACACCUACGGUCAAUUUGGAGUCACCAGUUAACCUAACCUGCAUGUCUUUGGACUGUGGGGGAAACCGGAGCACCCGGAGGAAACCCAUGUGGACACGGGGAGAAAAUGCAAACUCCGCACAGAAAGGCCCUCGCCGGCCACGGGGCUCGAACCCGGACCUUCUUGCUGUGAGGCAACAGCGCUAACCACUACACCACCGUGCCGCCCAGACUUCAUGCUAAAACUGUUAAAAUGUUGUAAUCACAUUAUCACCCAAGUGAGGAUGGGGUCCCUUUUGAGUCUGGUUCCUCUCAAGGUUUCUUCCUCAUGUCGUCUGAGGGAAUUUUUCCUUGCCACCAUUGCCAUAGGCUUGCUCAUUGGGGAUAGAUUAGGGAUAAAAUUAGCUCAUGUUUAAAGUCAUUAAAAUUCUGUCACAAAGCAGCUUUGUGACAAUGUCUAUUGUUAAAAGCACUAUAAAAAUAAACUUGACUUGACACUUAUCAGCCACCUACAAUGCAGUCCUUGGCACACUUCCCAGACAACUGAAUACACACCCUCACCAAAACUCAGCUGACUUCAAUGACUCAGAGGAUGACAGAGAGAACCAAUGACCCACAGAUGACCCUAAUGACUCUCUAGGCUGCUAACACCCUUCACACCUGGCCCCCAGUGACCUACACCUACAGGAUGACUCAGCGACCCAGGUGACCUUACUGAAUCUCCUUUGGGUUGCUUUUGAUCCACUAGAGCAGGGAUUUUCAAAGUGUGGGGCGCGCCUCCCCUGGGGGGCGCCAGAGUUCUUCAGGGGGGGCGCAACGUGAGGAAACAUAAGCCAGAAUAAGUUACUAUUGCAGACAUUUCGCGAACUUCAGCUAGCCUUUGCCAGAGACAAAAUGGAUCGAUUUUUAGUACCUAAAGCUACAGUGAGUGAGGAGACAGAGUCUGGGCCAAGCAAAAAACCAGACCCUCCAGGAUUUCGCGAUGUUACGAUUCAACCAAUCCCCGCGAAUUCAGGGCGGUGUUGCAAUUAUAUCCAAUCACCGCAACCUUCCCGCAAAUUUGACCAAUCGUUGGCGUCGUCGAGGUGACGUCGACAAACUAACUUCCGCCUUACUUCCGUGUAUACGUUCAAGAGAAGCAGCAUGCGCGCAGUGUUGCCAGACUGAGCGGUUUUAAGUGCAUUUUGGCAGAUUUUGAACAUAUUUUGGACUGGAAAACGUCAGCAGUAUCUGGCAACAUUGCAUGUGCGAGACAAUGUUUAUAUAGGCUUAAAUUCUGUUACUGAAAGUGUGUUAUGUUUACAGUGAAGGACUGUGUGCACUUUACAUUAUUUUUUUACUUAAUA